rfam:Pan troglodytes isolate Yerkes chimp pedigree #C0471 (Clint) chromosome 5, whole genome shotgun sequence.
UGGUGUGACCUUUUCUCUCUUGUCGGUGCCUCAAUCUGAACUUGUCAAGGGCAAAUCUUCCAAAUAUGUGCUGCUUAGUUGAAGAGAAUAACGUACUCUGAUAGAAAAGGACCAUUUUUGGCCAAGAGCAUAUGACUAUCUAUACUUUCUUGCAAGUAUUUCCACACAAGUUCUCGAAGUCCAUUUGUAGGAGAACAUAAAGCAUAUGUGCUUUUGAUUUUCACCGUCAUUUCCUACUCCAUUUCUCUACCCUGGCACACUGGAGAUUAUU